GCCUGAAUAGCUCAGUUGGUUAGAGCGUGGGGCUGAUAAUGCCAAGGUUUUAAGUUUGAUCCCCAUAUGGGGCA
rnacentral:tRNA from 1 species